rnacentral:rRNA from 1 species
GACAGAGGUGCCGAGCGUUAGGCGGAAUCACUGGGCUUAAAGCGUGUGUAGGCGGGCCCGUAAGUGCAUCGGUGAAAUCCCACGGCUCAACCGUGGAACUGCUGGGUAUACUGGUUGUCUUGAGCCAGCUAGGGGCGAGCGGAACAGACGGUGGAGCGGUGAAAUGCGUAGAUAUCGUCUGGAACGCCGAAGGUGAAAACAGCUCGCUGGGGCUGCGCUGACGCUGAGACACGAAAGCCAGGGGAGCGAACGGG